CUACCGAAGCUUCCGAGAUACCUAUGACCAGACAUACCUUACUCUGGGAUCCACUCUAGUUGUUGACUCACUUCGCCCGAUAUCAGACCUCAUACACUCGACUGCUCCAUCUACAAUGCAAACAUUUCACUACACACAACUACAUCACUUCCUAAAGACAGACGCACGAUUCCUCAGGGGAACCAGACCCCUCUCUGAUUUCGAAACACAUUGCAAAACCCGGAGCAUUAAAACUAAGCAACUCUCGACUUUCUAUAAAAUGAUCCAGACAGAACACGCGGCCCACCCACCUUAAUUCACCGCCUCAUGGACCAAGGACCUUAACACACAAUUCAC